CCUACGGGAGGCAGCAGUGGGGAAUAUUGGACAAUGGGCGAAAGCCUGAUCCAGCAAUGCCGCGUGAGUGAUGAAGGCCUUAGGGUUGUAAAGCUCUUUUACCCGGGAUGAUAAUGACAGUACCGGGAGAAUAAGCCCCGGCUAACUCCGUGCCAGCAGCCGCGGUAAUACGGAGGGGGCUAGCGUUGUUCGGAAUUACUGGGCGUAAAGCGCACGUAGGCGGUUAUUCAAGUCAGAGGUGAAAGCCUGGAGCUCAACUCCAGAACUGCCUUUGAAACUAGAUAACUAGAAUCAUGGAGAGGUGAGUGGAAUUCCGAGUGUAGAGGUGAAAUUCGUAGAUAUUCGGAAGAACACCAGUGGCGAAGGCGGCUC
rnacentral:rRNA from 1 species